rnacentral:rRNA from 1 species
UAUGGCUCAGGAUGAACGCUAGCUACAGGCUUAACACAUGCAAGUCGAGGGACAGCAUUGGAGUAGCAAUACUCAGAUGGCGACCGGCGCACGGGUGAGUAACACGUAUCCAACCUGCCGCUUACUCGGGGAUAGCCUUUCGAAAGAAAGAUUAAUACCCGAUGGUAUAAAGAGUUCGCAUGUUCUCUUUAUUAAAGAAUUUCGGUAAGCGAUGGGGAUGCGUUCCAUUAGAUAGUUGGCGGGGUAACGGCCCACCAAGUCUACGAUGGAUAGGGGUUCUGAGAGGAAGGUCCCCCACAUUGGAACUGAGACACGGUCCAAACUCCUACGGGAGGCAGCAGUGAGGAAUAUUGGUCAAUGGACGAGAGUCUGAACCAGCCUAAUGCCGCGUGCAGGAUGACGGCCCUACGGGUUGUAAACUGCUUUUCCCCGGGAAGAAUAAGCCCCUCGUGAGGGGUGAUGCCGGUACCGGGGGAAUAAGGAUCGGCUAACUCCGUGCCAGCCGCGGC